rnacentral:sRNA from 1 species
UGGCAGAAGAGAGUGA